ensembl:lncRNA
CAAGAGAAUUUUUUUUUAGUGCUUGUGCAAAGAGGGGGGGGGGGGAUGGUGGGGUAACUCCAGGUUAUUCACACUGCAGGAACACAGGUUCACAUAUCUCCAGGCCUUGUUCCUGUGAACGAUCCAAGUUUUUCUCAGAACACAGAAGGACAGGGCUAUCAUCGCUUAAAAGUGAAUGGCCAUGUGAAAUUAUUUCGUCAUGGCACUACUGAUUUUCUGACUGUGAUCGGUCUGAAGGUCUCGAUUACUUUUCUAGAACAGUGUGGCAAGUAAUGCUUGCUGAAAAUUAAAUCAGAUAUACAUUAAAUACUUAGUUUCGAUGCAUUAUUAGUAGUAGUGAUAGUAGUAGUAUUCCUAUUGUAACAACUAAUUUAUAGGGAUUUUUCCGGCACCAUUUAAUUGUUAGUGUAAAAAAAUAAAGAUUACGAAAGCUUUUUAGAAGUAUAAAUAAAAACACAUACUGAGAAGUUGCUAUGGAAGAAUGCUCAUGGAAGGAGACUCCAGUGUCAGCAGUUUAUAAGUCAGAUGUACAGCUGGUCCUUUUACGUUUUCUGGUCGGACGUCACCAUCUGUAUCUAUGCUCCAAAUAUGCGUCUAUGUAUCUGAAUUUAAAGCGCCUUGAAAUGAUUAUAAAAGCAUUAUUUGAUGCGUUGAUGUAAUUUCCACUGAAACAGGACAUCAGGGCGGGACAUACCGAGUGGCUCCUCCCCCUUUUUAAAUCGCCAGGAGUGUUUAGCUUACCUCACAGCCCAAGCUAAGCCGUACUUGACAGUUAGUACCGUGGAUUUUUAUAAUGUCAGGGGGCGGGACACUUCAGAUUCUAGAGAGCAUCGGAUUGGACAGAAAACCUGACGAGACGCUGAGGUGCAGAAUGAGGUCAUCAGAACUGUCGAUCCGUUUCGGUGGUAGAGAGACUGUACAUCUUCUAAAUGGAAAUUCUGUCAUUGUUGUGAAGCACACUAGCAUGGAGAUGAUCUUAAGGCGAAUAUAUUCAUACUAAAAGCCACGGAACGUCACAUUUUUAAUUCAUGGGGACUU